rnacentral:lncRNA from 1 species
UGAUUUCCAACCUUGUCUAUUUAAACGUAUCCAAAAGGAAACAGGUUGUUCUUCAACUGGACCAGGAACACUGAAUCGUUGGAACCCAGAACACGACGACGGAGACCACCUUACCAGUAGAAUAAAGAACACAGAACAUCCCAACACAAAAGACACCUUAAUAGUAAGUACGAAGGACAUAUUAGUAAGGGAAAGAAAAAUGUGUGAACGGUUCAGUUUAAGGAAGUUAAGGAGGUUUAGAGUGGAAAUGGGUUUGAUUUCACUUCUUAGAUAGAAGGUAGAAGACGGUGGACAUAGAUCGUUAAAAUCACA